rnacentral:rRNA from 1 species
UACGGAGGGUGCAAGCGUUAUCCGGAUUCACUGGGUUUAAAGGGUGCGUAGGCGGGGAAGUAAGGCAGUGGGGAAAUCUCUGAGCUUAACUCAGAAACUGCCGUGGAUACUAUUUGCCUUGAAUAUUGUGGAGGUGAGCGGAAUAUGUCAUGUAGCGGUGAAAUGCUUAGAUAUGACAUAGAACACCAAUUGCGAAGGCAGCUCACUACACAAUCAUUGACGCUGAGGCACGAAAGCGUGGGGAUCAAACAGG